rnacentral:rRNA from 1 species
UACAGAGACCUCAAGCGUUAUCCGGAAUCAUUGGGCGUAAAGCGUACCGAUAGGUGGUUUACAAAGUCAGAGGUGAAAUCUUAAGGCUCAACCUUGAGUCUGUCCUUUGAUACUUGUAAACUAGAGGGGCAAAGAGGAAGCUGGAACGAACGGUGUAGUAGUGAAAUGCGUUGAUAUCGUUCGGAACACCAAUAGCGUAGGCAGGCUUCUGGGUGCCACCUGACACUGCUAGGACGAAAGCGUGGGGAGCGAAUGGG